rnacentral:rRNA from 1 species
UCGACCUGAGGUCAGGCAAGAACACCCGCUGAACUUAAGCAUAUCAAUAAC